ensembl:lncRNA
GUUUCAAAGGUCAUCUCUCCCCCGCUCCGCCCCGUUCCUCAUUCCCGACCGCCGCCGUUGGGCGGAGAGGAGGCUGAGGGUGGGGACGCGGACCCCGCCUCGCCGGGGGGUCCUGGGGACCUGAGCAGCUUUAGGACUCGAUGAAUGCCCAAACCCAGAUCCAGAAACUGCGGUUUUCCUCUGAGAUCGCUGAAGGACCUGAGGAGAAGGAUUUCGGUGUCUUUAGGGUGGAUUUGGAGCCCGGACCUCACCAGGAACUGCAGAACAGAGCUAAUACAAAGCAGUAAGCUCUGGACAAUGGAUGAAGAUCAAGCUGAAUGGGACACUGAGUGAGAUGCUGAAUGAGGUUGUAUUUGUUCAUUUGCUGGUAGAAGAAACUUGAAGCCAGAGCCUUAAACCCAUCCUUUUAUCACGGCAGGUGUUGUAAGUUCUUUGGACAAGGACAGCACCUCCUUAUCUGUCUGCAAAGGAUGCAUAACAUAAAAUUAUUAAUGAGUAAAACAGACUUCCUUGUUCUUGACAGGCUACAAACAUCUGAAACUUUUCAAUGACAGAUCUAGGCAUAACUCCAACAGAACCAUGUGUUACACCUCUAUCUUUGAGCCCCGUUCCAUCACUCACCCACUCACCUUAUGGCAGUUUUCAGGAUAACCGGAGGAGCCGUAGUGAGUAUUAAUAAGAAUAAUCAACAUUUUUGUUAAUACACAGUAAAUGAAUGUCAGUGUACCGAAAUCACUCUAGAAGAAGAAAUCACCCUAUGAAAUGAAGCAAUCUGUCAGACACAAGAGGUCUUUUUGCCUCUAAUCAGAUGAAAACUAGGCCAAGGAAGGGCAUGUGUGAGGAGCUGAGUGCUCUCUUAACAGAGUUAAG